GUGGGUUUGAGUGGUCCGUGGGUUUUAUGUGGAAACAGGGAGCUGGUGCGUAGGAGCUUCUAGCAGAAACAAAUCAGCGCAUGGGAGGAGAAUUCAAAUGCAAUAUGAAGCGCAGGAACGUGGGCAUGCUGGGCAUGGUCAUGCAACGUGGGCUCGAGCGAGAGGUUUGGCGAGUGGGUCCUGGUUGAUGCGAGCAAACAGGAGUGGCCUGGAGUGCUGGUUUCAGGUGCACGAGAGUCCAAUAGCACAUGGGAGCGAGGUCAGCAAGCACGAAACAGAGAGCUGAGACGUCGCCUGAUAUGCGGUAACCAAUCAAGGAGUCCUAAUCCGUGAGGCAUAAGGAGAUUAAACACAUCCACAACUUAAGGGGCCAGAAAGGCUAUAAAAAGGGAUCCAAGGAGAAAAGAAAAAUCAUCCAAGAGAGGGAGAGGCAUAGAGGGGGUCGCAGGCAAGGCUUGGAUUGAAGGUUGCUUCAAGGCAAGAGGUGCUGAGAAGAAGAAUUUUGUCUCCUACGCCAUCUCCAUGCCAACAUUGAUCUGAGGUCGAGAUCUAAAGAGGAAGAAGAAGAGGAAGCCCAGCAUGCUCUGAGGAGUUGAAGGAAGAAGGAGAAGUCAUCAACCAUUUUUCCGACGAGACUGUGCCAAUCGACUUUCAAUCUUUGUUACAAUUUUAUUUUAUUUACUUGUUCUUUUAAAUUUUUGAUAAUUAAAUUUUAUCUUUAAAUUAAUAUAAAAAUUAUUUUUAUGCACUUUAAAUUUCUGUUCCUAUUUUUAUUGCAAGUAGACGCUAAGAUCUAGAUAGUAGAUCUUAGUACCAAGUUAUUUUUAUGCUCUUUACAUUUUUGCUCUUUAUUUUUAUUACAAUUAGAAGCUAAGAUCUAAAUAGUAGAUUUUAGUAUCAAAUUUCUUUUUUCGCAUUUUUAAUUUUUAUUUUUUGACUUAAAUUACUUUCUUGAAUUUUUAUUUUCAUUUAUAAAAUCAAAGAUUUCAAAUCAGCACUGCCUUCUCUGUGGAAUCGACCCAACUUAUUGUUCUUUACAUAUUUUUAAUAUUUUUAAAAAUCGAAAUUAAACUGAUAAUCAUGGUGUCCUACCGACAAUAUCGCGAGAUAUCAAAUUUUUGGCACCGUUGCCGGAGAAGGCACAAACGCUAAAAUUUUUUAUUUCUUUGAUUUCUUGUAUAUACAACUUACUAACUUUUUCUUAUUUUUCUUGCAGAGAAAAAGGAAGAAAAAAAAUAAAAGGAGAAAGAAAAGUUGUCAAUCUUGUUUGAUGAGAUCAAUCCUAACCCUAAACUGCUUUUUUUUUAGUAUUAGUUGCUUUAUUUUCAAAUUAACUUAAAAAUCACCCACAUAAACCUAAUAAAAAUCGCACGACAUGAGUAGAAACCCUAAUUACUUAGAGCAUUCAUCAUUUAGAUUUAUUUUGGUGAUUGCUGAAGACAAGGUGAGCUGCUCAAGUUUAAUUAGUUUCAUACAUCUAAUUUAAUUGCAUAGAACCCUUGUUUGAAAUUGAUUGUGCAUAUUCAUCUUAAAUCAACUUAAAGGCAACAUCUAUUAACAAGAUAAGGUGGAGAUUUCAUUGUAAUUCCUUAACUCAAAAACAACCAACCAGCAUCCCUCAUUAACCCAAGCCUCUAAAUUAAAAUUAACUAGAUGUCAGCCCCUAAGAAACUCGAGCUCAAUAGGACAAGUGACCAUGAAAAUUGAACCGGAUCGGGCCUAGUUGAUCAAUUAGUGUCUAGAAAAGUAGUUCAGAGACUACAUCUCGAAGGAAGGUGGUUAUUUAAUUGAUUCCGUUUGCUGAUCUGGCCAACUUUGUUGGUAUCUAAGAAAAGCAACGGAGGGAUCCCCACCAAUCUUACACUUAUCUGAUCAGUUAGUUGGUUAGGUUCGCACUUGGAGUAUUUGACGGUGCACUUGGAAUAGUUAGGAGCUGUCCAGAUUUAGGAUAACCUCAAGACAGAGAGUCCACUUUAUGCUAACUUGAAUGCAAUUAACAUCUAACCACAACUAAUUCUUCUCAUCUAUUGUCUUUAUGUCUAGGAUUCUCUUAGGGUUCUCAUCUUUAGAACUUCUCUCUUUUUUUCUCUUCUCUUCUUUUCUCUCUCCCUCUUCUUUUAAAAAAAAAAAUUUGAACCACACAUUAGGAUUUGCAUUGGUACAUGCACAGUAGGAGAUCUCUUUUUUUUGAUCUAGUUGAACUCAAUACUGAAAUUGAACGGCUGGUCUAUGUUAAACCUGACAAUCAAAUAGCUGAACCACCUGGGCAGACGAAGGAAUACUUUAUUCCUUCCACCUAUAACCCAUCGACUUGUAUCCACUUACCUGAUAUUUUUGCAAGUCAUUAUGAGAUCAAGUCGACCAUAAUCCAGAUGCUCCCAUUUUUCUAUGAGAACACCAAUGAAGAUCCUUACAAGCAUCUAGAUAAGUUCUUAGCAAUUUGUUCCAUAAUAAAGAUCCAAAAUUUUACUGUUGAUGCACUUAGACUGAUCUUAUUCCUUUUUUCACUAAAGGACAAAACCAAGCACUGGCUUGGCACAAUAGGGAGACCAAUCCGAACUUGGAAUGAAAUGCAACAUAAUUUUUUGAAAAAAUUCUAUCACAUAGGUCGAACCAACAUCAUGAGACGAGCCAUCACUGGGUUUGCUCAGUUUUUAGGAGAACAAAUUCACGAGUCAUGAGAGAGAGUUAAGGAAUUUCUUAGAAAAUACCCACACCAUAAUCUAUCUAAGUGGCAAAUUAUUCAAGCUUUCUAUGAGAAUUUAGGAGAUCAAUAUAGACAGAUGGUAGAUGCAUCUUGUAAAGAUGCAUUCAUGAGCAAGAGUGAGGACGAAGCCUAUGCCUUGCUUGAAAUCUUGAGUGAAAAUUUGAUCAAUCAUGCUUCAUUAUCUUCCUAUGAAAGGUUGAUUCCUCAUCAAAAAAUGGGCAAUCUAUGAGAUCAAAUAUUCAGACUCUAGUUCUAAGGCUGACUUGAACCUGAUAGCUCAGAAAUUAGAUAAAAUAGAUCUUCUUCUCUAAAAGUUAAAUCAAGUCUUAGUCCUAGGUCAACAAUCUCCUGCACAAUACACAUCACCUUCUAAUUAUCAGAACAUUUGUUCUAUCUAUGCUAGCCUAGCUCAUCAUGCGAGUGAAUGUCCCACGGCUCCACAGUUUCCAUCUUUGAUCCAAGAACAAAUCCAAACUGCACAAAACUAGUCCAAGUCAGUUAAUGAUCCAUUCGCAAACACAUAUAAUCCAGGUUGAAGGAACCAUCUCAAUUUUUCUUGAAAACUCCAACAGACUCAGGCUCAGACCCAAUUUUCUCAUGUGCAAAACUUUCAAAAUAGGCCACAAUACCAGAAUUGUCUAUAAUAGAGGUCAGCCUAAUUAGCCUACUUCGUCACCAUAUCACAAUCAGCCAUCAUACCCAUCUCCACAACAGAUCAAUCUAGUCGACAAUAGGUUUACUCAACUUCAACAAUUGAUUAUGACCCAACAGCAAUUCAUCAUCAGACUAAAAGCACAAAUAAGACAGUUAGCUGAAUCUACCAUAAGGAGAGAAUCAGGUCAAUUAUCGAGCCAACCGAUAGCAAAUCUCAGGAACAACCAACCCAAUAUCCACCAACCACUUGGACCUAGUCAUCAAUCCAAUGUCCCACCUAAAAAUCCCCAAUUUGAGAAUGCCAAAGAAAUUUUUGAGCUUAGAAGUAGUAGGAUUCUUAAGGAUCCAUACCAAGAUCAGAUGAGAAAGGCUAGUACUGAUGCUAGCCAAAAUGUGAACUUAGAAGAGGUUAGUACUGAGACUAACCACAAAAGAAGCUAAAUCCGAAACUGAUACCGAUACUGGUUCCAAUCUGAGUGAGAAAGAUAAAGAGAAGAGAUCAGAUGAGUUACCCGAGACAUAUAAACCUAGAGUCCCAUUCCCUUCAUCCUUAGAAGCCGGUUCUUCCCACAAAAAGCAAGAAGCACGCAACGAAGAGCUAAUAAAAUUGUUUAAGCAAGUUCAUAUUAAUCUAUCCCUCCUCAAUACGAUUCAUCAUGUUCCAAUUUAUGCUAAAUUUCUUAAGAAACUUUGCACACAAAAGCUUGAGUCAAGAACCACAAAGAGAUUGUGCUGUUUGAGGAUGUAAGUACAGUCCUGUUAAACCCAUUGUCUUAGAAAAUGAAAAACCCCGAUGCUUCUUUGAUUUCAUGUGUUAUAGGAGGCAUCACCUUUAACCGAAUCCUAUUAGAUUUAGGAGCUAGUGUGAAUCUAUUUCCAACCUUGGUUUAUGAAAAAUUUGGAAUAGGAGAACUGAAAUCCACAUCGGUUAUUUUGCAACUAGCUGAUAGAUCUGCAAAAAUGCCACGUGGUUUGAUUGAAGACAUCCUGGUUAAAGUAAAUCAAUGUUAUUUUUCAAUAAACUUUCUUAUACUUGAUAUGGAACCAUCCCAAGAGCUGAAUCAAAAUCUUAUAAUUUUAGAUCGUCCAUUCCUAGCCAUUACCAAUGCCAACAUCAAUUAUAAAACAGGAGCCAUGGAUAUUUCUUUUGGAGAUCAAAAAGAGAGAAUCAAUGUUUUUAAUGCCUCGAAGUACGCUCAAAAGGAGACAAGCUAUUCUGUAAUUAAUCUGAUAGAUGAGAUCAAAAUUUUCUGUACCGAUACCGGACGACGUACCGGUGCCGGACCGAUACGAUACGGUACCAUAUCAUACCGACACGGUACGCAUCGGUGUACCGAUUCAAUACCGAUACCCAAUUUUUUUUGGUUUUCAUUUUUUUUUUAUGGAUGUUGAAGCUAAUAAUUGAUAAAUACAACCUUAAAAUGGCAUUAAAUUGCAUAUUAUUGACAUAUUUGGGUUCAAUUUUAUGUUAGAUAGCGGUACAAAGACUCUUGAUCCAAAAUUUCAAACAUAUAUUUAUUUACAUUAUAUUUCAAUUAUAUCAUCUUAAAAUUAAAAAAAUAUAUAAAAUAUGCAUUAAAAUAUAUCUAAAUAUUUAAAUACAAAACACAAUAAUUGAUAUACGAAUCUCAAGAUAUACUCUGUAUUUAAUUUUUUGUCGAGUGUUUGUGACGCUUGUAAAUAUCUGGAUCAUCAACAUAGUCGUCUGGAGGGACAUCAAUCCAACCCUCUGAUCAAGCUGCACCGUACUCUCGAAUAUUCAUCCUAUAAGGCAUCCUCUCUAGAUUGUAAGAUAUCUUAGAUCUUUCACUAAAACUCUGACUCUGAGAAAGCUCUAAAUUUUUUCUUAUAAAUAUAUGCAAGUAUAACAAAACACGAUAGUUUAAUGAUAAUUAAAAUAAUUAUAUAUAAUUUAAAUAAUUAUUUUAAAACUUAUAAAUUCAAAAUAAAUAUGUUAUAUGCUUCAAAUAAUAUUUUUAAAUUAACAAAAAUAUAACACUAUUUUUAUAUAUUUUUUAUUUUAUAAUUAAUUUUUUUAUUUAAAUAAUUUAAAAAAUAUAUUUUUUAAUUUCAAAUAUUUAAAAAUAAUUUUUGAGGUUAGAUUUAAGUAGCUUGAAUCAUUCUAAACAUGAUUCCAAAAUUUCGAAUUUUUUCUCUUAAAUUUAAUUUUUUAUUAAUUUUUAAAUGAAUAAAUAUAUAAAAAUAUUUUUUAAAAAUAUAAUUAAUAAAAAUUAAUAAUUUUGGUGUCAUCGUGUAGAUCUUCCAAAGAUCUAUCACAUAUAAUUAAGUCAUACCAAAAUCAUAAGAUUUUGGCAUGAUUUUCUCAUAUUUUCAUUUUACCUCAUUCUUAUCCUAUUUCUAACACUAAAAAUAAAAAAAAUAAAAUAUUUACUAACAAAAUAACAGAUUAUCUUAUCUCCGACCAAAAAUCAACCUCUCCUCGAAACACUACUCCAAUUUCAUGAAAUUUUGCCCUCUUUUUCUAAUUUUUUGGAGGUCUCAACGAUUCGUUGAGACCUUCGUGGCCCAUGGGUGUUCUCUGAGAAGUCUCAGAGAACACUCUUCAGUGUGGGUGCUAAUUAAAGCACCAGACCCUCCUCCCCCCACGUGAAAAGGCCCACUCCCCCUGCCCCUCCCUCCCACCACGUUUUGAUGUGGGACUACCGGUACGAUUCGAUUCAGGCCGAACCGACAUCGAACCGAACCAUACCACCCGAUUUCGGACGGUAUGGGCCCAAACCGUACCGAACCGGGCGGUUCGGUGCGGUUCGGAGUAAUUUUUCGAAAAAAAAGGCCAGAACCGGACCGGUAAAGCACCAGUCCGGCUCGAUACGCACCGUACCGACGGUUCGGCCCGAUAUGGUGAACACUGGAUGAGAUAGUUGAGUCCGAUUCCUCAGAUUUGAUGAAAGAUGAUUUUCUGAAUAAGCCCAUUGAAGAAAUUCAAGACCAGAAGGUGAAUGCCCUACUUGACUCACCUUAUCCACUAAAAUUUUUCAAUCCCGUAUUUGAUCCUGGGUAGAUGAGAGAAUCGACAUAGUCUGGCUAAAGACUUUAAACUUAGCACUUAUUGGGAGGCAACCCAGCAUUUAUAUUUGAAUUUUUUUUUAUUUUUAGAUUACUUUCUUUUUGAGUUUAGAACUAAAUUGAAAGGAGAAUCAAUUUUGAAAAGACUUCAAGUGGAAUCAUGAAGGCCAGACUGAACUAAGUAUACAUCUGAGUCAGAUGAUAUCUCUCCUUUUCUUUUUCUUUGUUUAUCAUACUUUAUUUUUUCUACUCCAUUGAGGACAAUAUCGAUUAAAUUGGAAGGAGAAUAAUAAAAAAAAAUUAUAAGUCCUCGAAUAAGUUAGUAUUUAGCAUUUAGGUAUCCAAUUACGCUUAAGAAUCGAAUUGAACUAAACUUUUUUUUUAAAAAAAUUGAUAAACAACUCAGAGAGUUUGUGAGAUAUCGAGGGAUCAAGUAUUAAGAAAACUCAAUGAAUAGUUAAGUUUUGAACAUAAACAUUUUUUCCUGAAGCAUUUCUAAUUUUUUCUACUAGCAUCAAAGAAGAAUUUACUUCCUAUGGACUUGUAUAGGAUAACUAUACAUUUCUUCAUAAAAUAAUUCAUUUUACAAAAAAAAAAUUCAAAUACUUCAUGCUAAGUAACUGGACUUCUUUGUCUAAGCAAGUAUUGAGUUUCCGUCAAAAGAUAUGAAGGACAAAGAAGCUCUGUUGUGAAGCUAGUAUUAACUCGUAGUCCAUUUGAUUCGAGCAAGUCCGAGGGAUAUUUUAUAUCUAGUGCCCUAAAACUACCUGGUUCGGAAGUCAUUGGCUAAAAACUCACUAUAAGGGUCAGACAGAAAGCUUAAAAGGUUAAGACACUCAAUAACAGUACAAUAUUAAAGAAACACACAAAAAAAUAAGAGCAAAUUCUAAACAUGGGUCUCCUACUGACUAAUCGAACUCCUUUGCCUGAAUAAGCAUUGUGGUUUGCAUCAAAAAGUGGACAAUGUGAAGAUAAUUUUAUAAUAAAUGAAGGACGGAAGUAACAAUACACUCGUCUAUAUGAAAGAUGAACAAUUUUGAGAUGAAGAUAGGGGCAAUUUAGAAAAAAUUCAGAAAAGAUUUGAUGUUCUUCACUUAACUUCCACAUUGAUUAGUACUAAUACCCCAAUGACAUAUCUCACUCAUGCUUCAUUGAACAUCAAUGACCCUUUUGAAAAUUGUCUAGUAAAAUUCAAAACUCUAAGUUAAAAGGUAUCUAACUCUAAAUCCAUUCUUUACUCGAGGACGAACAAAGUUAAAGUUGGAGGGUGUGAUCAGUACAUUAAAUAUGACAUAAAAAGUAUUAAAAUUUUUAUUAUUUAAUCUUUAUUAUUUAAUAUUUGAUACUUUUAAUACUCUUUUUCAGGAAUAAUUAAUUAUGAGAACUUAAUCACAAACCAACAAACAACGACCCUUCAACACGUACAGAUGAAGUUCAAGUCCAAAUUUAAACAUGUCACAUGCACGACAUGCAAAAAUACAAGGAUACGUGGCAGGAACCCAAUGAAUAAAAGAAAAAAAAUAAAAAAAUAUUUAAAUAAAAAGUGGGCAAGAGUAUUUAAUGAGGAUGGGAUCCAUAAUUUUUAAAUAAAUGAGAAGAGUUGGCUGGCUGUCCGUGGGUUUGAGUGGUCCAUGGUUUUCAUGUGGAAAUAGGGAGCUGGAGCGCAGGAGCUUCUAGCGAAAACAAAUCAAUGCGUGGGAGGAGAAUUCAAAUGCAAUUUGAAGCACAGAAACAUGGGCGCACUGAGCGUGGUCAUGCGAUGUGGGCCCGAGCGAGAGGUCUGGCGAGUGGGUCCUGGUGAUGCGAGCAAAUGGGAGUGGCCUGGAGCGCUAGUUUCAAGUGGUGCAAGUGCAUGAGAGUCCAACAGCACACAGGAGCGAGGUCAGCAAGCGCGGAACAGAGAGCUGAGACGUCACCUGAUACACAAUAACCAACCAAGGAAGGAGUCCUAAUCCAUGAGGCAUAAGGAGAUCGAGCAUGUCCACAACUUAAGGGGCCAGAAAGGCUAUAAAAAGGAGUUCAGGGAGAAUAGAAAAAUCAUCCAAAAG
rnacentral:lncRNA from 1 species